GAGCCAUUUUGUUACUCAGAGAAAUGAAGUAAGGUGUCUGAGUUUAACGGAAAUAAUUGGAAUAGAAAUGGAUGGUAAUGAAUUGCAUGUAAAAAGAAGAAUUCAAGAUGUAUCGAAGAUGCAAGAAAGUACCACAAAAAGAUCCCAAGCGUUUCCAGUGAAACCCACCGGUUCUUGGCUCUCUGCAACACACACACACAUAUAUAUAUACAUACAUAUAUAUAUAUAUAUAUAUAUAUAUAUAUGUAUAUAUAUAUAUGUGUUUGUAUGUAUAUAUGUGUAUAUGAGUAAAAAAAUGUACAUACUCCUACAUAUAUGUAUGAUUAUGUAUACAUAAAUAUAUUUAUAUAUAUGUAUAUAUGAAUAUAUAUGUGUAUAUGUAUAUAUGGAUUUAUAUGUAUAGAUAAAGAAAUGUAUAUA